UAGAAUCCAGUUCAGCCAAACCGAAAUUCCUAGACCAAGUAAUGUGUCUCUUCCGUAACAUCCUGACAAUUGACAAGGGAGACAAUCUCCAAGUAAUACCAACCAGUGUAGUACACACAUUGCAGACCCUCAAGAAAUCCGGGCCCCGAAGUCAACAUAAGACUUGUAACUCCCUUCUCCAGCUUCUCCAAAGACAAGGACUCCAGAUAAAGACCCCAGAGGUACCAGACACUUCGUCGACGACCCCUCAAUAAACACAAUCAAUAAAAAAAUUUACAAUAAAA
rnacentral:lncRNA from 1 species